UUCCGGUUGAUCCUGCCGGACCUGACUGCUAUCGGAUUGAUACUAAGCCAUGCGAGUCAUUGUAGCAAUACAAGGCAUACGGCUCAGUAACGCGUAGUCAACCUACCCUAUGGACGGAAAUAACCUCGGGAAACUGAGAAUAAUAUCCGAUAGAACAUUAUGCCUGGAAUGGUUUAUGUUCCAAAUGAUUUAUCGCCGUAGGAUGGGACUGCGGCCUAUCAGUUUGUUGGUGAGGUAAUGGCCCACCAAGACUAUUACAGGUACGGGCUCUGAGAGGAGUAGCCCGGAGAUGGGUACUGAGACACGGACCCAGGCCCUAUGGGGCGCAGCAGGCGAGAAAACUUUGCAAUGUGCGAAAGCACGACAAGGUUAAUCCGAGUGAUUUCUGCUAAAGAAAUCUUUUGUUAGUCCUAGAAACACUAACGAAUAAGGGGUGGGCAAGUUCUGGUGUCAGCCGCCGCGGUAAAACCAGCACCUCAAGUGGUCAGGAUGAUUAUUGGGCCUAAAGCAUCCGUAGCCGGCUCUGUAAGUCCUCGGUUAAAUCUGUACGCUUAACGUACAGGCUGCCGGGAAUACUGCAUAGCUAGGGAGUGGGAGAGGUAGACGGUACUCGGUAGGAAGGGGUAAAAUCCUUUGAUCUAUUGAUGACCACCUGUGGCGAAGGCGGUCUACCAGAACACGUCCGACGGUGAGGGAUGAAAGCUGGGGGAGCAAACCGGAUUAGAUACCCGGGUAGUCCCAGCUGUAACUAUGCAAACUCAGUGAUGCAUUGGCUUGUGGCCAAUGCAGUGCUGCAGGGAAGCCGUUAAGUUUGCCGCCUGGGAAGUACGUACGCAAGUAUGAAACUUAAAGGAAUUGGCGGGGGAGCACCACAA
rnacentral:rRNA from 2 species